UCAGCGCAUGUUAGCGCAUGAUAUGUGGCAGCACUUUAAUGUAUAUAUACGGUGGUGUACAGAUCGGUGUACAUUAGUGUUAAUCAGUGUGUACGAAUAAAACGAAAUUAACGCUAGAAUAUUUUCCAAAGUGUUGAAGAAUUUCGAUCGAGAACUUUUGGAGAAAAAGUUGUAUGUAAGUACUUCUGUGUACAUUACAACGACCAAAUAGAUACAUAGAUAGGUACAUAAAAAAAUGUAUACUGUUGUCGAGUUUGAGGACGGUAUCAUGGCAGUGCCAAGUGCAUGGGUUGAUACUAAAGAGCUUACAUGCAAAUGGCCUCCAUAUUCAGAUGUUGCCAUUGAGAAAGCAAUUAUUGAUAUUGAUGAAGUUACCGAAGACUGGGACACGUUGUCUAUUAUUAGAGUAUUUGGAAAAUCAGUUCGUAAUUUGGAAACUGCGAAAGAAAAAGCGCGUUUGGCUGAAAUGGUAUCCGACUGCGACAACGAGGAAGUUUUGAAAAAAAGUAGACACGAGAGAAAAAGAAAAGCAGUCGAUUCUACGAAUGAAGACAGUGAUGAGAAUUCACAAGACCCUAAAAAAAUAAGCAAAAAUAAAUCGUUAUAUAAGUCGAAAAUACCGUCAACUUUAUUAUCAUUGAAUGCUAGACAAAAUGUUUCCAACAAAAAACUUUUAACUACUAUAAAUGAUGGAGAAACAUAUAAACAAUCAAAAGAUUGUACAAAAGAAAAUAAGAAGGAAAUCCCUUCUACAUUGAAGACUUCCAUUUUGCCACGAAAUUCAUUUUCUUAUUGUGAUAUUAACAGUGUAAAUGAUGAUUUUGGUGAUACAAACAAUGACAUCCCCACGCCAAGACAAAGCGAUGUUGUAAAAACGUUUGAAAAAAGUGUUCGUGUUACUAAUACUCAUGAUAUAACUACCAAAAUACCAAAUAACGACAUUAAUGAAAAACUUAAUUAUUUAAUUGGUUUAGAAGAAGAAAAUGUCAAGAAAAAUAAUGCUAUCUUGCAAGAAAUGAAAGAGAUUCGAAAAGUAAUGAUUAACUUACGUCCGAAAACAUACAAUGACCCUACCGUACAGUCUGUAGAAGAAUCUGUAAUUAAAGAAACAAAUUUGAAUGACUUUUUUCCGCUCAAUGACAAUAAUGCGCUAGAGGCACUGGAAGAGAAAUUGGAAAAUAGAGUGUUCCAGAAGGAUGUGAUUCUGCUCAAAAUCUGUUUGCGCAGCUUUGGCUAUCUGGGAAAAUAUAAAAUCUAUAAUGAGAUUGUUAACCAAAAGAGGAGGGCGAAGUGCAUAUGAACUUGCAACCAAUAUUUUAGCGAAGGUAUUCACAAACAGUUUUGCUGCACAAUAUAGUUAUUAUGGAAAACAGAAAAAGAAGCCUUUAUCCGAAUUAAAAAUCACCAAAUGUAUUAUUGAGGCAGUUUCACAUUCUUACCAAGACAUUAAAGAACACGAUGUGGAAAAAAAAAUAG
rnacentral:misc_RNA from 1 species